UCCUCCCUUUCUCAAGCCCAGAGGUAGAGGGGCAGAGAUGAGAGAGCUGGGUAAAGAAGUCCAGAGAUGGAGUUGGAAGCAGGCUGGGACUAUGUCAGCAGCUCGGCCUCCCUGUCAGUCAGUACCAGCUUCUCUGAAGAGCGUGUGUGGUGCUGAUGAUGUUAGCCAGAAGCAGCCAGGCAUUGACUGGGCAGGGGGUCUUGGUUAGAAGCCGGCAGAGGUACAGAUGUCUUGGGCUCUCAUCCAUAAGACAGAAUCACUCCUGGGAUUGAGAGGCUCCAACGCAUCUGUCAGAGGCAAGCCACAUGUUGUUCCAGACACUGACGACAAAGCUCCUGCCGCAGCCUGGGGUCAGUGGGCCCAGCACUCCAUCAGUGGGAUAAUGAAAGUGAAGCUGAGAACAGCUACACCACCUGCUGUGUGGAACCUCCCACAAUCCUCUCCCAUCAUGCUCCAGUCAAGCACAGUCAGGAAGUGGGUGAGAGGAAGUUCUGAAUCCAGCCAGGAUUCUGGCAAGGGACGUCCAUUCCACAAAUCUACAAAUGCUGCCAGCAAAGGAGACAUGCCACUGCCAGGCAGUGUGGGACACCACAUUGGCAGACUUGUCCAUGGUGAGGACUCAGGCCAAGAGAUCUUUCUGCCCUGAGCCUUUGUUUUCCCAGCUGUGAUCAGGUACAGACAUAAAGAUAUUUUAUUCUUACACCCUCUUUCCUGACAUUUAGUUCUUAAAACUCUUGGAGUGUCUGAAGGAAGGCCCUUUUGUUUGCUGGUGU